rnacentral:rRNA from 1 species
UUAAUCUUACUUUCUUUUUGAGAGUUUGAUCCUAGCUCAGGGUGAACGCUGGUAACGUGGAUACCGGCAUGCAAGUCAAGGGGGCCUUCGGGCAACCGGCGAACGGCAUAGUAACACGUGGGUACCAACCCUAAAGUGGGGCAUAGCUCGUCGAAAGACGGGGUAAUUUCCCAUAGCACCGAAAGGUUAAAGUCGUAAGACGCUUUAGGAUGGGCCCGCGGCCUAUCAGAUUGUUGGCGAGGUAAAAGCUCACCAAGUCUAUGACGGGUAGGGGGCGUGAGAGCGCGACCCCCAUGAAUGGCACUGCGACACGGGCCAUACUCCUACGGGAGGCUGCAGUCGAGAAUCUUCCGCAAUGGGCGAAAGCCUGACGGAGCGACGUUACGUGAAUGAUGAAGCCCUUCGGGGUGUAAAGUUCUUUUAUGUGGGAAAAACGCAAGUGAUUGUACCACAUGAAUAAGGGGAUCCUAAUUCUGUGCCAGCAGGAGCGGUAAGACAGAAUCCCCAAGCGUUACCCGGAUUUAUUGGGCGUAAAGGGUCCGUAGGUGGCUCAGUAAGUUUUAAGUUAAAGCUCGUCGGCUUAACCUUCGAGAUGCUUAAAAUACUGCUGUGCUUGAGGGCGUUAGAGGUUAGCGGAACCGACGGAGUAGGGGUGAAAUCCGUUGAUAUCGUCGGGAACACCAAAAGCGAAGGCAGCUAACUGGGGCGACCCUGACACUGAGGGACGAAAGCGUGGGGAGCAAAAAGGAUUAGAUACCCUUGUAGUCCACGCCGUAAACGAUGAAUACUAGCUAUUGGCAGUGUCGACCCUGCCAGUGGCGAAGCAAACGCGUUAAGUAUUCCGCCUGGGAAGUACGGUGGCAACACUAAAACUCAAAGGAAUAGACGGGGACUCACACAAGCGGUGGACCAUGUGGCUUAAUUCGACAACAAACGAAGAACCUUACCAGGACUAGAAAUCCAGUUGACCAUCCUAUGAAAGUAGGACUUCGCAAGACAGCUGGACAGGUGCUGCAUGGUUGUCGUCAGUUCGUGUCUUGAGACGUACCGUUAAUUCGGGUAACGAACGCAACCCUUGCCCUGUGUUUUAAGUGUCACAGGGGACUGCCCGAGAUAAUUGGGAGGAAGGUGAGGAUGACGCCAAAUCAGCAUGGCCCUUUGAUGUCCUGGGCCGCACACGUGGUACAAUGGCAAGUACAAUGCGUCUUCGAUGCCGAAAGGCGGAGAUUAAUCGCACCAAAGCUUGUCUCAGUUCGGAUUGAGGGCUGAAACCCGCCCUCAUGAAGCCGGAAUCGCUAGUAAUCGCCAAUCAGCUACGUGGCGAUGAAUACGUUCCUGAGUCUUGUACUCACCGCCCGUCAAGCCAAGCGAGCUGAGGAUAGCCGAAGUACCUCGAAAGAGGUCCUAAGCUAGAUUCAGUGAGAGGGGCUAAGUCGUAACAAGGCACGGGUAGCGGAAGCUGCUCGUGGAUCA